rnacentral:pre_miRNA from 1 species
UGUUAGAGACAGCACAAAGACAGGGAACAGGCUGAGCAUGGAUGGAACUAUCGACAGAAUUGAGGAGACAACUGUCAUGGUUCCACUCAUGCACUGCCUCUUCCCUGGCUCUGUUCCAAUUACUCCUU